rnacentral:rRNA from 1 species
GAUGAACGCUGGCGGCGUGCCUAAUACAUGCAAGUCGAGCGAACGGACGAGAAGCUUUCUUCUCUGCUGUUAGCGGCGGACGGGCGAGUAACACGUGGAUAACCUACCUAUAAGACUGGGAUAACUUCGGGAAACCGGAGCUAAUACCGGAUGAUAUUUUGUACCGCAUGGUUCAAAAGUGAAUGACGGUCUUGCUGUCACUUAUAGAUGGAUCCGCGCUGCAUUAGCUAGUUGGUAAGGUAACGGCUUACCAAGGCAACGAUGCAUAGCCGACCUGAGAGGGUGGUCGGCCACACUGGAACUGAGACACGGUCCAGACUCCUACGGGAGGCAGCAGUAGGGAAUCUUCCGCAAUGGGCGGAAAGCUGACGGAGCAACGCCGCGUGAGUGAUGAAGGUCUUCGGAUCGUAAAACUCUGUUAUUAGGGAAGAACAUAUGUGUAAGUAACUGUGCACAUCUUGACGGUACCUAAUCAGAAAGGCACGGCUAACUACGGG